UACGAAGGGGGCUAGCGUUGUUCGGAAUUACUGGGCGUAAAGCGUGCGCAGGCGGCUUCUCAAGUCAGGGGUGAAAGCCCAGAGCUCAACUCUGGAAUUGCCUUUGAGACUGAGUGGCUUGAGUACGAGAGGGGUGAGUGGAAUUCCCAGUGUAGAGGUGAAAUUCGUAGAUAUUGGGAAGAACACCGGUGGCGAAGGCGGCUCACUGGCUCGUAACUGACGCUCAUGCACGACAGCGUGGGGAUCAAACAGG
rnacentral:rRNA from 1 species